AACUAAAACAUAUAUACUGCUUCAGGAUAGAUUCAGACUUAAAAAAAAUGGCAACAUGUGAUCGCAAAACAAGAUUUUUGAACACUGCAAGAGUAUGCCAAUUCUGAACUGUUAACCAAUGUAUACAAAAAUAAAGUUCCAAAGAAGCUGCGUGUAUCUCAAUUCUGAACUGUUGUUGACCAAAGUACAAAAUGAUGUUCCAAACAAGCAUGUGGUGUCGCAGCUGACCGAAUUACCAAGCAUGAAUAUAAGAGUAUACUAUGUUUUGACCAACACAUGGUCUCACACAGCAGUAUAUCACCAAGCAAGUUGGUCAAGUAGUCAGCAGAAAGCCAGCAAGCAGAAAAGAGUAGGCUGUUUUGUACUAACACAAAGCACACAGCCGACCACCCCCUCCAUGCCUCCAUGUAGCAUGCAGUCUGAACCUAUAGCAUGCAGCCAAAAUAAUUCAAAACACGAACAAGAAAAUAGACGAGACAUUUUGUGCUACUUUUAUCACUAAAUUUCAUAUUUGAUAUGAAAGUGUCAACCCAACAUAAAAGAAAGAAUGCACAAAACAUAAUUGAAGAACAGAAAGAUUGAACAACAAAUUAUAUUAGAGGUAAAAAUGCAUCUUGCAAAUUGAAUAUGGAAACACAAGAACAUAUUGCUACUAACCUCAGUUAUUCUUUGUUGCUCGAAGCAUUAUUAGCAUCCACUAUUGUCCCCUCAACGUCUGUUCUAACCCAAUGUUCUUCAUUGUUCUUUAUUUUCAGACUCUCUCCAAGCUGUGAAACAUGGAAUGGCUCAUUUUCUGU
rnacentral:lncRNA from 1 species